rnacentral:piRNA from 1 species
UACAGAUUCCCAGGAUGCAUAGCUUUC